UACGAAGGGGGCUAGCGUUGCUCGGAAUCACUGGGCGUAAAGGGUGCGUAGGCGGGUCUUUAAGUCAGGGGUGAAAUCCUGGAGCUCAACUCCAGAACUGCCUUUGAUACUGAAGAUCUUGAGUCCGGGAGAGGUGAGUGGAACUGCGAGUGUAGAGGUGAAAUUCGUAGAUAUUCGCAAGAACACCAGUGGCGAAGGCGGCCAACUGGUCCGGUACUGACGCUGAGGUGCGAAAGCGUGGGGAGCAAGCAGG
rnacentral:rRNA from 1 species